UACGUGAAACCGUUUAGGGGUAAACCUGAGAAACCCGAAAGAUCGAACAAGGAGAUUCAGCGUAUUUUAUUUAUGGCGUUACGCUCAAUUUAUGACAAAUUUUCUUUUUGAUUAUUUGCAUUGUUGGUGUUUUGAACUGUAUUUGAAUGCGUGCACUUCUCCUUUAGUAGAACGUCGCGAUUCGUUGAGUGUCGGUCUACGGCUUGUGGAGGAAGUUCUUUUGUUUACAAUUUAUUGUUUCAAUUGAACCUGCAAUGUCUGGCCGACUGCUCGACGAUAUACAGAUGGUGUGGGGCCGCUACUUAGUUAGCGUUCGGCUUGUAGCAAGCGUGUUUGAUUUUUUGGCAAUCGGACCUAGUGCCGGUGCUGAAUGCAAAUGCCUGUUUGUUGCAAUGCUCUCGAACAGACCUUUUACGAAACACCGAUCUGCGACGCUAUAGCUUUGGGUACUUUCAGGACCCGUCUUGAAACACGGACCAAGGAGUCUAGCAUGUGCGCAAGUCAUUGGGACUAAAUAAACCUAAAGGCGUAAUGAAAGUAAAAACUUGUCUUGUACAAGAUGAGGGAAGAUGAGUAGCACUACGGUUGCUGCUUCGCAUUCCCGGGGCGUCUCAUUCUCAUUGCGAGAAGAGGCGCACCAAGAGCGUACAUGCUGGGACCCGAAAGAUGGUGAACUAUGCCUGGUCAGGACGAAGUCAGGGGAAACCCUGAUGGAGGUCCGUAGCGAUUCUGACGUGCAAAUCGAUCGUCGGAACUGGGUAUAGGGGCGAAAGACUAAUCGACCUUA
rnacentral:rRNA from 1 species